rnacentral:ncRNA from 1 species
AUUUUUUGCUAGGGGUGUCGAAUGAAUUAUUCGGCUGAGAGAGUCCCUUUGAACCUGAUCCGGUUAAUACUGGCGUAGGAAAGCUGAUAGUUACUCAU